rnacentral:tRNA from 1 species
GGGGAAUUAGCUCAGAUGGUAGAGCAACGGCUUUGCAAGCCGAAGGUCGAGAGUUCAAAUCUCUCAUUCUCCA